CUGGAUGUGAUUCAGGUUCUCCUUUGUACACAUUGCACCCUCAUCCUCCUUGCGGCCUAAAGCUUUUUUUUUUUUAGUUGAGUCAUUUAAUAAAAAAGACUUUUUUUAGAAAAAAAAUUUCCUCUUGAGCCAUCAUGCACAUCUGACUGCAGCCCCAACGAGCCCUUCCUCCCUUGUCUGACCGCUCUCUUUCUCGAUUUCUUCUUGUUGUGCCUUCUCAGUCUGCAGCCCUGGCCCCCGCUGUGUGUCUGGCCCUUGGUGACUGUCCGUGUUUCUGUUCCUGUCAUUGUAACUGACUUUUCUCUCUGUCUGCCCCCCCCUUCCUGCUGGUUCAUGCUUCUCCCCCAUUCCCACCCUCUCUGCCCGGCCUCCUGCUCCCGCCCUUUCUCCUCAUGCACCCGGCCUCGUCUCUGUAGUCUCUGCACUUGUCUCCCAUUAAGGUCCCAUCCAUGGGGGGGCGGAAGCGGGAGCGCAAGGCUGCCGUCGAGGAGGACACCUCCCUGUCGGAGAGUGAGGGGCCCCGCCAGCCCGAUGGGGAUGAGGAGGAGAGCACAGCCCUCAGCAUCAACGAGGAGAUGCAGCGCAUGCUCAACCAGCUGAGGGAGUAUGAUUUUGAGGACGACUGUGACAGCCUGACUUGGGAGGAGACUGAGGAGACCCUGCUGCUUUGGGAGGAUUUCUCAGGCUAUGCCAUGGCAGCUGCAGAGGCCCAGGGAGAGCAGGAAGAUAGCCUGGAGAAGGUGAUUAAAGAUACGGAGUCCCUGUUCAAAACCCGGGAGAAGGAGUAUCAGGAGACUAUUGACCAGAUAGAGCUGGAGCUGGCCACGGCCAAGAACGACAUGAACCGGCACCUGCACGAGUACAUGGAGAUGUGCAGCAUGAAGCGUGGCCUGGACGUGCAGAUGGAGACCUGCCGCCGGCUCAUUACCCAGUCUGGAGACCGAAAGUCUCCUGCUUUCGCUGCGGUCCCGCUUAGCGACCCGCCGCCACCGCCAAGCGAGGCUGAGGACUCCGAUCGCGAUGUCUCAUCUGAUAGCUCCAUGAGAUAGAGACCUUCCUCCCCCUUGCACCCGAGGCCCUCACAGCUGGGAACUCAGCGAGGCAGAGGGUGGGGCUGCACAGAGGGGAACAUCAGCUGUAGCUCUGCACCAGGCCGGCCCCUGGGGACUGGGGCGCUCCUCCCUCGGGCUUUCUCCCUCGGUCUUGGCUUCUCCAGGGCUCUGGGGUGUCUGGAGCUAGGCUUGGCCCUACCAUUCUGGGGCCAUUUCCACCACAGUUGGGGCUGUCCUGCCUUCACGCGUGGGUGUCUGCUACUUCCCCAUCUUUAAAAUGCUGCCAGAGCGAUUGCGGCCCCUCACCUUGUCCACGUAUCAGGAAUGUGAAUAUGGGACCUUUCCUCCAUCCCUGUUGUCCGGAGCCAGCUCACUGUCUUCCACACUGGUGCUAACUGGCCCGGGCACUGGAGUGGAAUAGAAUGCAGCUGGAGGCUACGCAUGGCCUCUGCAGCACACGCAGUUGGAAAGGGCUUCUGUCCCUGUCAGCGGCGGAGGGCGUUGGGGCUGGCCGGGGCACCUCGUCCCUGCUAUGGUCCACAUGCUCAUGCUGUCCACCUGCCAGGUGGAGCAUAUGUGGCUGUGGCCCUCCCUCGUGGAGGUGCCGUGCUUUCAAGAGGCCUUAGUGCCCCGGAUGGGCACAGUGUUUUGAAGGGAGGAGGGAGCUCUUGCUCUCCUGGUCACUGCAAAAUGACAGAGAAGGUGAAGCUCCGUGCAUGUGCGCGCGGGUCUAUGUGCGCUCAGGGUCUCUGUUUAAGUAUCAGCUAAAGGUGUGCCUCCUCCGUGUCUGUCAUACACUGAGACCAACAGGCUACAGUGUCCCUGAUUCUUGGAAACGCCUGGAGAAGCUGGGGAGAUGCGAUUCACGAUGCCUCGGUAUAGGGGGCUGUGUUGAGCUGACAUUCAAAUGGAUUCUUUAAUAAUAAUGAAACUAGCGAGUAUUUAUUGUGAACUUUGGUGUCACUGUCUCAAGCACUUCCUAAUAUUCACUAGUUUGAACUCUGAGGUAGGUACUUUUUUUUUUUUUUUUUUUUUGAGAUGGAGUCUCAUACUCUGUUGCCUAGGCUGGAGUGCAGUGGCGUGGUCUCAGCUCACUGCAGCCUCCACCUCCAGGGUUCAAGCGAUUCUCCUGCUUCAGCACGCCUGUAGCUGGGACUAUAGGCGUGCGCCAUCACACCUGGCUAAUUUUUGUAAUUUUAGUAGAGACGGAGUUUCACCAUGUUGGCCAGGCUGGUCUCAAACUCCUGACCUCAGGUGAUCCACCCACCUUGGCCUCCCAAAGUGCUGGGGUUACAGGCGUGCGCGCUCUACCGAGGUAUUUACUUUUGUCUCCACUAGGUAAGUGCACGUGCAAAGUGAAGCCCGGGAGUAACUGCCCAAAGCCAUUGAACUGUUCAGUGGCAGAGCCAGGGGUCUGGACCUAGGUCCCAGCUACAUGCCUUGCCCCUACCCAAGCUUCCCUAAGGAUGAUGAUGGAAGUAAGUCACCCUGACACAUUUCAGUUUAUCUUCCUCAAAACUAUGCGAG
rnacentral:sRNA from 1 species